rnacentral:tRNA from 1 species
GGUGGCGUAGAUGUCACUUACUUCGCAUCUGGAGCGGGAGGUCGCUGGUUCGAAUCCAGCCGCGUCCA